rnacentral:misc_RNA from 1 species
GAUGAAGAACGCAGCGAAAUGCGAUAAGUAGUGUGAAUUGCAGAAUUCAGUGAAUCAUCGAAUCUUUGAACGCACAUUGCGCCCCUUGGUAUUCCAAGGGGCAUGCCUGUUCGAGCGUCAUUUGUACCUUCAAGCUCUGCUUGGUGUUGGGUGUUUGUCUCGCCUCUGCGUGUAGACUCGCCUCAAAACAAUUGGCAGCCGGCGUAUUGAUUUCGGAGCGCAGUACAUCUCGCGCUUUGCACUCAUAACGACGACGUCCAAAAGUACAUUUUUACACUCUUGACCUCGGAUCAGGUAGGGAUACCCGCUGAACUUAAGCAUAUCAAUAAGCGGAGGA